AUUGAACGCUGGCGGCAUGCCUUACACAUGCAAGUCGAACGGUAACAGGUCUUCGGAUGCUGACGAGUGGCGAACGGGUGAGUAAUACAUCGGAACGUGCCCGUUCGUGGGGGAUAACGACGCGAAGGCGUUGCUAAUCCCCGUUACGAUCUACGGAUGAAAGCAGGGGACCGACAGGCCUUGCUCGAACGGAGAGGCCGAUGGCAGAUGAGGUAGUUGGGGGGAUAAAAGCUUACCAAGCCGACGAUCUCUAGCUGGUCUUAGAGGACGACCAGCCACACUGGGACUGAGACACGGCCCAGACUCCUACGGGAGGCAGCAGUGGGGAAUAUUGGACAAUGGACGCAAGUCUGAUCCAGCCAUGCCGCGUGAAGGAUUAAGGUCCUCUGGAUUGUAAACUUCUUUUAUAAGGGACGAAAAAAGGUCUUUCUAGAUCUUCUGACGGUACCUUAUGAAUAAGCACCGGCUAACUCCGUGCCAGCAGCCGCAGUAACAC
rnacentral:rRNA from 1 species